rnacentral:rRNA from 1 species
UGAACGCUGGCGGCGUGCUUAACACAUGCAAGUCGACGAGGUGCAUUCGGAUGAAGUUUCGGAUGGAUCUGAUGUACUGAGUGGCGGACGGGUGAGUAACGCGUGGGGAACCUGCCCCAUUCCGGGGGAUACCAGUUGGAAACGACUGUUAAUACCGCAUAAGCGCACGGGAUCGCAUGGUCCUGUGUGAAAAAACUCCGGUGGAAUGGGAUGGCCCCGCGUCUGAUUAGCCAGUUGGUGAGGUAACGGCCCACCAAAGCGACGAUCAGUAGCCGGCCUGAGAGGGCGACCGGCCACAUUGGGACUGAGACACGGCCCAAACUCCUACGGGAGGCAGCAGUGGGGAAUAUUGCACAAUGGAGGAAACUCUGAUGCAGCGAACCGCCGCGUGAGUGAAGGAGUAUUUCGGUAUGUAAAGCUCUAUCGGCAGGGAAGAAGAUGACGGUACCUGCAGAAGAAGCCCCGGCUAACUACGUGCCAGCAGCUGC